UUCUAGCGCUCUGCUGUCCCAGAGAGGCCUGAAAGCAUGAACUGCCUCGUGGAGGAGACCAGCACGGGAUCAUGAUUGAUUCCACUUUGAAGCAUUGAGGAAACGAAUGCAGAGGAGCUGAUGCACCGUUUCUCCAAAAGAUGAAGAAAUCCAGGCAAUUUUGAGAGAUAGUGGUCUUCUCCAGAUUAUGAUCCAUUACUCCCAUCCUCUCUUCAAAUCGUUGCUGUAUUGCUGAAUAUUUUCAAAGUGAAUCUUAAACUUGAAAAUUAAAACUUCAGAGAAACAAGUCUUUUUUCUACCAAUGGUA